rnacentral:rRNA from 1 species
GCGUGCCUAACACAUGCAAGUCGAACGAGAAAGCUCCUUCGGGAGUUAGUAGAGUGGCGCACGGGUGAGUAACACGUGGAUAAUCUGCCUGAUAAUCUGGGAUAACAUUUCGAAAGGGAUGCUAAUACCGGAUAAGCCCACAGCCUCUUCGGAGGCAGCGGGAAAAGAUGGCCUCUUCUUGAAAGCUAUUGUUAUCAGAUGAGUCCGCGGUCCAUUAGCUAGUUGGUAGGGUAAUGGCCUACCAAGGCAACGAUGGAUAGCUGGUUUGAGAGAAUGAUCAGCCACACUGGAACUGAGACACGGUCCAGACUCCUACGGGAGGCAGCAGUGGGGAAUUUUGCGCAAUGGGGGAAACCCUGACGCAGCAACGCCGCGUGAGUGAUGAAGGUUUUCGGAUCGUAAAGCUCUGUCAAGAGGGAAGAAACCUCCAAUGGUUAAUAUCUGUUGGAAUUGACGGUACCUCUAGAGGAAGCACCGGCUAACUCCGUGCCAGCAGCCGCGGUAAUACGGAGGGUGCAAGCGUUGUUCGGAAUUAUUGGGCGUAAAGCGCGUGUAGGCGGUUUGUUAAGUCUGAUGUGAAAGCCCCGGGCUCAACCUGGGAAGUGCAUUGGAAACUGGCAAACUUGAGUACGGGAGAGGGAAGUGGAAUUUCGAGUGUAGGGGUGAAAUCCGUAGAUAUUCGAAGGAACACCAGUGGCGAAGGCGGCUUCCUGGACCGAUACUGACGCUGAGACGCGAAAGCGUGGGGAGCAAACAGGAUUAGAUACCCUGGUAGUCCACGCCGUAAACGAUGGGUACUAGGUGUUGCGGGUAUUGACCCCUGCAGUGCCGAAGCUAACGCAUUAAGUACCCCGCCUGGGGAGUACGGC